rnacentral:lncRNA from 1 species
UUCCCAGUUCUUUUAUGUUAGAAUUCUGGAAUCAGUUUAAAGAGACUGCACAGACAAUUACUUUUGUGUCUGACCAUUCAAGGUGUGAGUUCCCAACCAGCAGUAUCAGCAUCUCAGGCUCCGUCCCAACUACUGAGCCAGAAUCUGCAUUUCAACAGGAUCCCAGUUCCUAAAACUGUUGGAAUCUCCUGAAUGAUCCAUAUAUAGGAGGAGUCUCUAAAACUCAGGCCAGAGGACCAAUGAGUUAAGCCUAUCAGGAACCUAAGUGCAGUGGGGACGUGUUCCCUCUUGGAGAAAAACUUGUCUUAAAAGAAGAGACUCAAGGCAUACAAGUUUGGUCCCAGGCAAUGUGUCACCAUCUAUUCAACAGUCGA